rnacentral:rRNA from 1 species
GACAGAGGGUGCAAACGUUGUUCGGAAUUACUGGGCGUAAAGCGCGCGUAGGCGGCUUGGUAAGUCAGGUGUGAAAGCCCCCGGCCCAACCGGGGAAUUGCACUUGAUACUGCUAGGCUAGAGUUCAGGAGAGGGUGGCGGAAUUCCAGGUGUAGCGGUGAAAUGCGUAGAUAUCGGGAGGAACACCAGUGGCGAAGGCGACUACCUGGACGACAACUGACGCUGAGGCACGAAAGCUAGGGGAGCAAACAGG